rnacentral:rRNA from 1 species
CACGUAGGGCGCAAGCGUUGUCCGGAAUUAUUGGGCGUAAAGAGCUCGUAGGCGGUCUGUUGCGUCCGCUGUGAAAACCCGGGGCUUAACCCCGAGCCUGCAGUGGAUACGGGCAGACUAGAGGUAGGUAGGGGAGAAUGGAAUUCCCGGUGUAGCGGUGAAAUGCGCAGAUAUCGGGAGGAACACCGGUGGCGAAGGCGGUUCUCUGGGCCUUACCUGACGCUGAGGAGCGAAAGCGUGGGGAGCGAACAGG